ACGCUAGCUACAGGCUUAACACAUGCAAGUCGAGGGGAAACGGCAUUAAGUGCUUGCACUUUUUGGACGUCGACCGGCGCACGGGUGAGUAACGCGUAUCCAACCUUCCCAUGACUAAGGGAUAACCUGCCGAAAGGCAGACUAAUACCUUAUGGUCUUCACUGACGGCAUCAGAUGUGAAGUAAAGAUUUAUCGGUUAUGGAUGGGGAUGCGUCUGAUUAGUUAGUUGGCGGGGUAACGGCCCACCAAGGCAACGAUCAGUAGGGGUUCUGAGAGGAAGGUCCCCCACAUUGGAACUGAGACACGGUCCAAACUCCUACGGGAGGCAGCAGUGAGGAAUAUUGGUCAAUGGGCGAGAGCCUGAACCAGCCAAGUAGCGUGCAGGAUGACGGCCCUAUGGGUUGUAAACUGCUUUUGUAUGGGGAUAAAGUCAAUCACGUGUGAUUGUUUGCAGGUACCAUACGAAUAAGGACCGGCUAAUUCCGUGCCAGCAGCCGCGGUAAUACGGAAGGUCCGGGCGUUAUCCGGAUUUAUUGGGUUUAAAGGGAGCGUAGGCUGGAGAUUAAGUGUGUUGUGAAAUGUAGACGCUCAACGUCUGACUUGCAGCGCAUACUGGUUUCCUUGAGUACGCACAACGUUGGCGGAAUUCGUCGUGUAGCGGUGAAAUGCUUAGAUAUGACGAAGAACUCCGAUUGCGAAGGCAGCUGACGGGAGCGCAACUGACGCUGAAGCUCGAAGGUGCGGGUAUCGAACAGGAUUAGAUACCCUGGUAGUCCGCACAGUAAACGAUGGAUGCCCGCUGUUGGUACGUGGUAUCAGCGGCUAAGCGAAAGCAUUAAGCAUCCCACCUGGGGAGUACGCCGGCAACGGUGAAACUCAAAGGAAUUGACGGGGGCCCGCACAAGCGGAG
rnacentral:rRNA from 1 species